GACAGAGGGUGCAAACGUUGUUCGGAAUUACUGGGCGUAAAGCGUGCGCAGGCGGCCUUGCAAGUCGGGCGUGAAAUCCCACGGCUCAACCGUGGAAGUGCACUCGAAACUGCUUGGCUAGAGUCUUGGAGAGGAAGGCGGAAUGCUUGGUGUAGAGGUGAAAUUCGUAGAUAUCAAGCGGAACACCGGUGGCGAAGGCGGCCUUCUGGGACAAUGACUGACGCUAAAACA
rnacentral:rRNA from 1 species